rnacentral:tRNA from 1 species
AAUGAAUUGCCUGAUAAAAAGGGUUAUCUUGAUAGGAUAAAUUAUAUAAUUUUUUUUAUAUUCAUUA